AGUGAACGCUGGCGGUAGGCCUAACACAUGCAAGUCGAACGGCAGCACAGUAAGAGCUUGCUCUUACGGGUGGCGAGUGGCGGACGGGUGAGGAAUACAUCGGAAUCUACUUUUUCGUGGGGGAUAACGUAGGGAAACUUACGCUAAUACCGCAUACGACCUACGGGUGAAAGCAGGGGAUCUUCGGACCUUGCGCGAUUGAAUGAGCCGAUGUCGGAUUAGCUAGUUGGCGGGGUAAAGGCCCACCAAGGCGACGAUCCGUAGCUGGUCUGAGAGGAUGAUCAGCCACACUGGAACUGAGACACGGUCCAGACUCCUACGGGAGGCAGCAGUGGGGAAUAGUGGACAAUGGGGGCAAGCCUGAUCCAGCCAUACCGCGUGGGUGAAGAAGGGCUUCGGGUUGUAAAGCCCUUUUGUUGGGAAAGAAAAGCAGCAGGUUAAUACCCCGCUGUUCUGACGGUACCCAAAGAAUAAGCACCGGCUAACUUCGUG
rnacentral:rRNA from 1 species